rnacentral:rRNA from 1 species
GAUGAACGCUGGCGGCGUGCCUAAUACAUGCAAGUCGAGCGAACAGACGAGGAGCUUGCUCCUUUGACGUUAGCGGCGGACGGGUGAGUAACACGUAGGUAACCUACCUAUAAGACUGGGAUAACUUCGGGAAACCGGAGCUAAUACCGGAUAAUAUUUCGAACCGCAUGGUUCGAUAGUGAAAGAUGGCUUUGCUAUCACUUAUAGAUGGACCUGCGCCGUAUUAGCUAGUUGGUAAGGUAACGGCUUACCAAGGCAACGAUACGUAGCCGACCUGAGAGGGUGAUCGGCCACAUGGGAACUGAAACACGGUCCAGACUCCUAAGGGAGGCAGCAGUAGGGAAUCUUCCGCAAUGGGCGAAAGCCUGACGGAGCAACGCCGCGUGAGUGAUGAAGGUCUUCGGAUCGUAAAACUCUGUUAUUAGGGAAGAACAAACGUGUAAGUAACUGUGCACGGCUUGACGGUACCUAAUCAGAAAGCCACGGCUAACUACGUG